UAAUCUACAGAUGCAAUGGGUUAUGUCUUCUCCAAGAUCUGGAGUCUUUUCAACAAUGAAGAACACAAGGUGAUCAUUGUAGGCCUGGAUAAUGCAGGCAAAACGACCAUUCUAUAUCAAAUUCUUAUGAACGAGGUUGUGCAUACGUCCCCCACCAUCGGUAGCAAUGUAGAAGAAGUCACAUGGAAAAACAUACACUUCUUAAUGUGGGACAUAGGAGGACAGGACUCACUGCGGACGGCAUGGAGCACGUAUUAUGCAGGCACUCAG